rnacentral:sRNA from 1 species
UACCCCGCUGGACCAGAACCAGCCUGCCGGGUC